GGCCAGAAAAAGAAAACAUUAUUACAAAACUCAAAAGAGAUACACCGGAGGCCACUUCAAGCUGUAGACUUCUCUUCCCGAUUCUAUCCUUCCCAGCAGCAUUGUCCAGUACGUGUGAUAAGCCUCUCGGCUCUCGCCCCCUGCCUCGUUCCACUCCAUCUCCAAAAUCCCAACCCUAGGGGGAAAAGGAUGGGAUAGAAUUCAGGGA
rnacentral:lncRNA from 1 species